UCUCAAGAAAUGUUUUCCGUGUUAGACCGCAUACAAGUCUCUUGGAACAGAGCGUCAUAGUGGUGAGAACCCAGUACACGAUGCGGAUGCCUAAUACUUUGUGAUACAUUUUCGAAGAGUCGAGUUGUUUGGGAAUGCAGCUCAAAUUGGGUGGUAAAUUCCAUCUAAAGCUAAAUAUUGGCGAGAGACCGAUAGCGAACAAGUACCGUGAGGGAAAGAUGAAAAGCACUUUGGAAAGAGAGUUAACAGUACGUGAAAUUGUUGGAAGGGAAACACAUGCAGUCAGACUUGCUAUUCGGGGCAACUCGAUUGGCAGGCCCGCAUCAGUUUUUCGGGGCGGAAAAGCAUAGAGAGAAGGUAGCAGUUUCGGCUGUGUUAUAGCUCUUUAUUGGAUUCGCCCUGGGGGACUGAGGAACGCAGCGUGCUUUUAGCAUGAGCUUCGGCUUAUCCACGCUUAGGAUGCGGGUGUAAUGGCUGUAUAUGAC
rnacentral:rRNA from 1 species